AUUGAACGCUGGCGGCAUGCCUUACACAUGCAAGUCGAACGGCAGCACGGGAGCAAUCCUGGUGGCGAGUGGCGAACGGGUGAGUAAUAUAUCGGAACGUGCCCAGUCGUGGGGGAUAACGUAGCGAAAGCUACGCUAAUACCGCAUACGAUCUAUGGAUGAAAGCGGGGGAUCGCAAGACCUCGCGCGAUUGGAGCGGCCGAUAUCAGAUUAGGUAGUUGGUGGGGUAAAAGCCUACCAAGCCUUCGAUCUGUAGCUGGUCUGAGAGGACGACCAGCCACACUGGAACUGAGACACGGUCCGGACUCCUACGGGAGGCAGCAGUGGGGAAUUUUGGACAAUGGGCGCAAGCCUGAUCCAGCCAUGCCGCGUGAGUGAAGAAGGCCUCGGUUGUAAGGUACUCUUUCGUCCGGGAACGAAAGUACGCACAGGUUAAGU
rnacentral:rRNA from 1 species